rnacentral:rRNA from 1 species
CAGAGGGUGCGAGCGUUAAUCGGAAUUACUGGGCGUAAAGCGCGCGUAGGCGGCUUUGCAGGUCGGGUGUGAAAUCCCCAGGCUUAACCUGGGAACUGCAUUCGAGACUGCAUUGCUAGAGUAUGGGAGAGGGAAGUGGAAUUUCCGGUGUAGCGGUGAAAUGCGUAGAUAUCGGAAGGAACAUCAGUGGCGAAAGCGACUUCCUGGACCAAUACUGACGCUCAUGUGCGAAAGCGUGGGGAGCAAACAGGAUUAGAUACCCUGGUAGUCCACGCCAUAAACGAUGACAACUGGAUGUCGGGAGGGUCUGCCUCUCGGUGUCGUAGCUAACGCGUUAAGUUGUCCGCCUGGGGAGUACGGCCGCAAGGUCG